UCAAGUUCGGCCAACCCAUUAGUGGUAGGCUGGGCCCUCCAUGAGGGUACCCAGAUGUCUAUCUCUAUCAAGCUCCAGAGUGAUAUGGAGCUGAGCAAGAGCUCGACAUGAAUAUGUUGGCAGCAGUUAGUGCGCCAAUUCAUGAACCGCAAGCUCACGGAUCAGUUGUAGAUUUUCCUUAAAGUAUUCCCCCAAGGUUUAUCAAUCUGUGGAAUAAGUGGAAUGCAGGCUUUCACUUUAUACUAAUCUAAACAACAGAGAUUGUUACAAGAUAGCAACAAAGAUAGAUUUGUGUUACCUCCCUACAAUCUAGGUUCACAAGAAUAUGCAUCUACUAGACAAAGGGGUGCUGCCUUCACUAGCUUCAUAGCGGUUACGUGCUCGCUCGGUCCUUUCCCUCCUACAUACAAUCACUACAAAAGGGUAAUCAACCACCUCAC
rnacentral:lncRNA from 1 species